rfam:Apaloderma vittatum contig76636, whole genome shotgun sequence.
GGGCCGGUCAGCUCAGUCGGUUAGAGCGUGGUGCUGAUAACACCAAGGUCGCGGGUUCAAUCCCCGUUCGGUCCC